rnacentral:rRNA from 1 species
GAUGAACGCUAGCGGGAGGCCUAACACAUGCAAGCCGAGCGGUAUUGUUUCUUCGGAAAUGAGAGAGCGGCGUACGGGUGCGGAACACGUGUGCAACCUGCCUUUAUCUGGGGGAUAGCCUUUCGAAAGGAAGAUUAAUACUCCAUAAUAUAUUGAACGGCAUCGUUUAAUAUUGAAAGCUCCGGCGGAUAGAGAUGGACACGCGCAAGAUUAGCUAGUUGGUGAGGUAACGGCUAACCAAGGCGAUGAUCUUUAGGGGGCCUGAGAGGGUGAUCCCCCACACUGGUACUGAGACACGGACCAGACUCCUACGGGAGGCAGCAGUGAGGAAUAUUGGUCAAUGGGUGCAAGCCUGAACCAGCCAUCCCGCGUGAAGGACGACUGCCCUAUGGGUUGUAAACUUCUUUUGUAUAGGGAUAAACCUACCCUCGUGAGGGUAGCUGAAGGUACUAUACGAAUAAGCACCGGCUAACUCCGUGCCAGCCGCCGCCGUAACAC